AUUGAACGCUGGCGGCAUGCUUUACACAUGCAAGUCGAACGGUAACAGGCCGCAAGGUGCUGACGAGUGGCGAACGGGUGAGUAAUGCAUCGGAACGUGCCCAGUCGUGGGGGAUAACUACUCAAAAGAGUAGCUAAUACCGCAUACGAUCUAUGGAUGAAAGCGGGGGACCGUAAGGCCUCGCGCGAUUGGAGCGGCCGAUGUCAGAUUAGGUAGUUGGUGGGGUAAAGGCUCACCAAGCCAACGAUCUGUAGCUGGUCUGAGAGGACAACCAGCCACACUGGGACUGAGACACGGCCCAGACUCCUACGGGAGGCAGCAGUGGGGAAUUUUGGACAAUGGGCGCAAGCCUGAUCCAGCAAUGCCGCGUGCAGGAAGAAGGCCUUCGGGUUGUAAACUGCUUUUGUACGGAACGAAACGACUCUGGUUAAUACCCGGGGCUAAUGACGGUACCGUAAGAAUAAGCACCGGCUAACUACGUG
rnacentral:rRNA from 1 species